rnacentral:rRNA from 1 species
AUUGAACGCUGGCGGCAGGCCUAACACAUGCAAGUCGAGCGCGAAAGCACUUCGGUGUGAGUAAAGCGGCGGACGGGUGAGUAACGCGUAGGAAUCUACCCAGUAGUGGGGGAUAGCCCGGGGAAACUCGGAUUAAUACCGCAUACGCCCUACGGGGGAAAGGCCGGGAUCUUCGGACCGGUCGCUAUUGGAUGAGCCUGCGUAAGAUUAGCUAGUUGGUGGGGUAAAGGCCUACCAAGGCGACGAUCUUUAGCUGGUCUGAGAGGACGAUCAGCCACAUUGGGACUGAGACACGGCCCAGACUCCUACGGGAGGCAGCAGUGGGGAAUAUUGGACAAUGGGCGCAAGCCUGAUCCAGCCAUACCGCGUGUGUGAAGAAGGCCUUCGGGUUGUAAACCGCUUUCAGACGGAAAGAAACAGUACAAGCUAAUACCUUGUACGAAUGACGGUACCGUCAGAAGAAGCACCGGCUAACUACGUG